rnacentral:rRNA from 1 species
GUAUAUAAAUAUUAUGAAAACAAAAAAUUAUGGCGGUACUUUAACUUUUCAGAGGAAUUUGCUCUUUAAUGGAUAAAACACCUAAAUCUUACUAAAAUUAGUUAAUUCAGUUUGUAUACCACUAUUAAAGUAAUAAUUUAUAACUAUUACUUUAAUUUUUACAUUUAAAAAAUAAAUUAAGUCAUGGUGCAGCUUAAGUUUUAGAAUGAAGUGAAUUACAUUUCUUUUAAGAAAAUUGAAGUUUAAAAUUAAUUUUUUGGAUUUGAAAGUAAAAAUGUAAUAUAAUGACAUUUUGAUUGAGUUCUAAAGUAUGUAC